rnacentral:lncRNA from 1 species
CUUGCUUGAUAUUAUGAUAAUAUCAGGUUGUACUCCCUCAGGAGUCUGUACAGCAAGAAGAAAUCAAAGAUGUAGCCCAACAUGCACUAUGUCUGCCUGGCUGAGGAGACAGGCUCCUGCCUCUUCUAAGAGAUUGUUGAGAAGAUGUAUGGUGAAUGUAUGGCUACAUUCUUAGAUCAGAUUGUGAGCUUCUUGUGGCCUAGGACUAUGUUUCACACUUGAUUCUUUGGAUCUCAAUGGGACUUAGAAUUGAGAUAGACAUAUGGGAGAACCUCAGUCAAGGAUUUUUGAGGAUUUUCACAAAUGAUGAAAGCUGAUCAAGCAUGUUAGAAAACCCUGGAAAAGAAGACCUGGGACAGUUUCCUUCAGAGGCUCUCAUAUUGGAUUAAAAAAAGAGUGAAAGACAAAAAUCCAUUGUAUCCAAAAUUAAACAAAACAAAAACAAUAAAAUAAAACAAAAUAUCCUCAGACAUUGUAAAGUCUCUGUAAGUAGAAGGUCGGCCAAAUGAAUAAAGGACUGUGAAUUAGAGAACACAGUUGUCUCUCACAAGAAUGUAUUAAUUUAAACUGGGCUCACAAAAUAUUGCAAAGUGAAGGUAUGGGGAAACCUACCUGAAUAAUAGCUAAUUAUGGAAGCUACAACAUACCCACUUUUAUUUAAGAAUGUUGCUAAGAAAAUGCAUUUUCAAUUGAUUUAACUAUGCCCAUUAAAAUGUAACAUGCAUUAUUCUUUUUGUGGGCAUGCCUUCUUUCCUCACAGAAGAUGAAAAAGUAACCUUAUGUCCCCAAUAUAAAAUAGCAGGUUUAAAAUUAAUGCAGUUUUGGUCCAGUAUGCCAGAACUUACUGACCAAAUGAGGGGUCAGAAGGGUGG